AGAGUUUGAUCCUGGCUCAGAGUGAACGCUGGCGGCAGGCCUAACACAUGCAAGUCGAACGGCAGCACAGCAGUAGCAAUACUGUGGGUGGCGAGUGGCGGACGGGUGAGGAAUGCAUCGGAAUCUGCCUAUUUGUGGGGGAUAACGUAGGGAAACUUACGCUAAUACCGCAUACGUCCUACGGGAGAAAGUGGGGGACCUUCGGGCCUCACGCAGAUAGAUGAGCCGAUGCCGGAUUAGCUAGUUGGCGGGGUAAAGGCCCACCAAGGCGACGAUCCGUAGCUGGUCUGAGAGGAUGAUCAGCCACACUGGAACUGAGACACGGUCCAGACUCCUACGGGAGGCAGCAGUGGGGAAUAUUGGACAAUGGGCGCAAGCCUGAUCCAGCCAUGCCGCGUGUGUGAAGAAGGCCUUCGGGUUGUAAAGCACUUUUGUCCGGAAAGAAAAGCUUCGGGUUAAUAACCCGGAGUUAUGACGUACCGGAAGAAUAG
rnacentral:rRNA from 1 species